AUUUGGUUGCUCCGCCAAUAGCUCGCCCCGUCUCGAUCUUAAUCCGGCACUUGGGAAGUAUCAGGACAUGGAACAGUGUUUCCCGCUCAGUGAGUCUUGGGUGACACUAUACAGAAACUACCCAUGGGAUCCAUUUUUCGGCGGCAAUGCAACGUGCAUCAAGGAGACCCAAACAGGUCCAGCAGUUAACGGAGCGUAUCCGCUUCUCUCACAAUAUGGAGACUAGUCAGCGAAACACCUCCAUUGAUAUUUACGUUGCUUACGCUGACUGCCAAAAUUGUGUCAUUCUCAGGAAAACAUACGUGAAUGAUAACGCAUGCGGUCUUCUUGUUGCCGAGAGCCAAGUGGAUAAAGAUAUUACAUGCUGUGAUUUCAUCUUCGAUCUUCUUUGUGGUACUACACCAAAGUACAACCUCUGGGACGACAGCUGCCAGACAUAAAACUGGUGUACUUAUCUUGUAAAUUCUUUCAUUACACAAUGCGAAAACUUUGCAUGGAGACAUAUGCAAUCUAAAAUAUAAACCCCUCCAUAAGUCCGUAACAAUAAACGUUUAUAUUUCUCUAUACCGAUUAGGUGAGAAGAAUACCAAGCCGUAUUGUAUUCAAACAGUCGUAUGAUCCCAAAAACAAACGAUGUGCAUUUGUUGUGCUAGUCAGAUUUCGCAGGUUAUCGAUCGCAUUAUUUCUUCUUGGCGGUCCGGGGGUAAUUAGAGGGAGAUGACUGUUUGG